rnacentral:rRNA from 1 species
UACGUAGGUGGCAAGCGUUGUCCGGAUUUACUGGGCGUAAAGAGCGCGCAGGCGGUCGGAUAAGUCGAGUGUGAAAGCCCCUGGCUCAACCAGGGAGGGUCAUUCGAUACUGUUCGACUCGAAGGCAGGAGAGGGAAGUGGAAUUCCGGGUGUAGUGGUGAAAUGCGUAGAUAUCCGGAGGAACACCGGUGGCGAAGGCGGGUCUCUGGGCCGAUACUGACGCUGAGGAGCGAAAGCGUGGGGAGCAAACAGG